GCGAGCCCCUCUUCCCUGCGUCCAUGGAGCAUCCCGGCGCUGAGAGUCCCGGCGGCGGGAGCACUUGCGGAGGCAGUAGUAGCAACAGCAGCAGCCAAGAAGGCGAGGAGCCCGAGUCCCCCGGAGGCCCCGUACCUGAGGAAGAGGACGAGGGAGAGGCGGCGGCGGCGAAGGGAGAGGACGCCGAGGAGCAGAGGGCGCGGGCUGGACUGGCAGCUUACGCGAUGAUGGAAGAUUGUUUAUUGAAGAAAAUAGAAAUCAGUGUGGCAGAAGCAGAGAAGCGUACUGGACGGAAUGCAAUGAACAUGCAGGAAACGUACACUGCUUACCUGGUGGAAACAAGGGCUGUGGAGUCUCAGGCUGAAGGGCAGUGUUCCCCCCCAGAUUCUCUUUGGAGAAGAUACAGUGAAUUUGAGCUGUUGAGGAAUUAUUUGCUAGUUAACUAUCCCCAUAUUAUUGUACCACCUUUGCCAGAAAAAAGGGCAGAGUUUGUUUGGCAUAAAUUAUCAGCAGAUAAUAUGGAUCCAGAUUUUGUAGAAAGACGGAGGAUUGGCCUGGAGAAUUUUCUUUUGCGAGUGGCUUCACAUCCCAUUCUCUGCCAGGAGAAGAUUUUCAAUGCAUUUUUAACCCAGGAGGGUGGAUGGAAGGAGAUGGUGAAUGAAACAGGGUUUCAGCUGAAGGCUGAUUCUAGAUUAAAAGCUCUUAAUGCAACAUUCCGAGUGAAAAAUCCAGACAAGAGAUUUACGGAGCUUAAACACUACAGCGAUGAGCUGCAAUCUGUCAUAUCACACCUUCUGAGAGUCAGAGCUAGAGUGGCAGAUCGACUAUAUGGUGUGUACAAAGUCCAUGGGAAUUAUGGAAGAGUUUUCAGUGAAUGGAGUGCAAUAGAAAAGGAGAUGGGGGAUGGGCUACAGAGUGCUGGUCAUCACAUGGAUGUGUAUGCUGCAUCUAUUGAUGACAUACUAGAAGAAGAAGAACAUUAUGCAGAUCAACUGAAAGAAUAUCUCUUCUAUGCAGAAGCUCUUCGGGCAGUUUGCAGGAAACAUGAACUUCUGCAAUAUGAGUUGGAAAUGGCUGUUCAAGAUCUGACAUCGAAGAAGCAGCAGUGUGAGGAAUUGGCAACAGGAACAGUGAGAACAUUCUCUUUGAAAGGAAUGACCAGCAAGCUUUUUGGUCAGGAAACACCUGAACAAAGAGAAGCAAAGAUAAAGGUUUUAGAAGAACAGAUACAUGAAGGAGAAGAGCAGCUCAAAACAAAGAAUUUAGAGAGCAGCACUGGAUGCACUAAACUAGUGCCUGCCUCUGUCAAUGGACUGGAUGAGAGAAACAAAGUAAAGCUCAAUCCAGACAAGACUGAAAUGCUGUUUGUGGGCAGUUCCUUAGAUUGGAUGGAGGAUGCUCAACCUGUUCUAGAUGGGGUUGCACUGCCCUUGAAAGAUCAGAGACUUUAUAAAAAGUGCCUGGGCUGAUAUUGAACGGUUCAAAGAGCAAAAGAACCAUGAUUUGAAAGAGGCCCUGAUCAGUUAUGCCGUGAUGCAGAUCAGUAUGUGUAAAAAGGGAAUUCAAGUUUGGACAAAUGCAAAAGAAUGUUUCAGCAAGAUGUGAUGGAUGGAACUUGGUUCUUCUUGAAAAAAGCUGGACAGCAGAAGCACAAAUGCAUGAAUAUGGAUACUAAGAUGCUACAUUAUUAAAUUGUGGAAUUGGUGUAGUUGUAAAAGUAGGCACAAAGAAUUGGUCUCUGUUCCUUGAUGGCCACCUUGUGGCUUGUUUUGCAUGCUGUAGCAAAUUGAACAUUGUAGUUCUCUCUGGAAGUAAGGCUAUAUAUAAGGAGAAUCCAAGUUGGCUCCAGUGAUGGCAUAAACUAAAAUGUUCAUCAUAUUAGGCUCUUGAACCACCAAUCUUUGCACUAUCUAAAUCAUUUCUUGGUGCCCUUCUGUUUCACAUUUGUAAUGCUAUAAGAUAUAAUAAUGGGGAUUUUUUGUUUUGUUUUCUAUAUGUAGUGGCACAAAAUUGUGUUUUCUAAGUAUCCAUAAUUAUCACAUACAUUGUUUGUCACUGGUGAGAAGAUGUUUUUCCAAAAAUUCGCUUUCUUUUUGUAACAAAUUUUUGAAUGUUUAGUAUGUUAUUCAACUGGGAUGUUCUGUACAGUACAGCAUUAUGUUUCUGAACUAGAAAUUUAAAACUGAAAGGAUUCCACAAUAAAAUGUUUCUACUCGUCAGAAGAUAACUGCAUAAUUAGCAAGCAGAUAAUACAAUUACUGUUCCUGACCUCAGUAAAAAUGCAUAACACAAACUUUAAAUUUAAUUGGCACUAUCCAUAAGUAUUUGGUUCUGCAUUAUCAAUUCAUUUUAAGAUGGUUAUACCAAGCAUAAUGAUGUUCCCCCUUUGAAUACUAACAGUGGUAGCUUCCUGAAAAACUUCAUUAAUCUGAGGUUGUUUUGCUUUGCACAUAUUAAUCCAAAUGUGAAUUGUAUAUACAUGUCUCUGCAUUCAUUCAUAAACACUACUUUUUAAGGAUUCUUUUUCAAGGAAAAUACAUAGGAUAGGUUGUUUCUCCCCAGGUAAAGUAUGUGUAAAAGCAAGAUAGCCCUUGCUAGCUCUGAUUAUAGCUGGAACCAGCAUCUUGUAUUUUAGGAAAGAUCCAAGACUCAUUGGCCUCUUUUCUAGUGGUAUUUAACAUGUCACUCAAGUUAAUGCAGACCCAAGCCAUAUGUAAGUCUAGGAAGCCUUCCUUGAUAUUAAUAGUGCUUAUUUGUGAAGCACAUAUUUAAUUAUUGCAAAUAACAACACUGUAUAAGUUUACGCAUACCAGAAACAAAUUCUUAAUCUUUCUAUUUCCCCAAAUCAGAUCUUUUUGCUUGCUGCAAUUAUAAAGCCAGGUAUGCAAAGCAAAACAUUUUCAGCUCUAAACAGAUGUAAUUUUUUUUUUUAAGAUUAAUGAAUAGUUUGUUUCAAGAGAAACAUCUAGCCCACUUAGGAUAGAUAUAUCUAUGCUUGAUCAUUCCACUUCAGAGAACAGUACAAACUGGGUCCUAAAACUGAAGAAUAAAAACUUGUACAUUCCAAAAAUAAUAAGCAGCUACAGUUAGAUUUUUAUAGUAUACUUCCUAGAGUUAGUUGUGCCUUAAUUAAUACCAGUGGGCACUUGGAGUCAAUAUUUUCCAUGCACUUGAUCUUCCUAGUGCCUUCUCCCACUCCCCUUCUUUCAUAAGCUGUAUAAUAUAUUAGUAUUCCUUUUUUCUUGCUAACUAUCUCAAAUCUGAAAAGGAUCAAAAGGUUCUUGUAAGCUUUGUGCCAAAUAUGUGAAAUAAAACUACAGUUUAUUAUUUUUGCUUUUCACAGUUA